rnacentral:tRNA from 1 species
AUUUAAAUAGUUUAAUAUAAAAUUAUAAUUUGUGAUAUUAUAGAUAUAUGAGUAAGAUAUUUUAAAUU